AGCUGUGCUACUGCCUAUCAGAUGUGCUCUUCCACUUCUCUUUUUCCAUCUUCUACCCACCAGCAUCUGUCAGAAGGAGUUUCUGCAUGAAAUUCAGGGGUGGAACUACAGAGACGGAGCAGACAGGGUGAACAUUCAAGGCCUAAAGAGCAUCACACGUAUGCUGGAAAAGUGGGGGAACGGCAUCUUCUGGCAAAUGAAAUAUUCUUUGUUGAGUCACCCUAACUCUCUACUGCCAGAACUAUCCAGCUUGCGGCCUGUCUCUGAGGCAAUUGACAACCUCCUGAAGCAAGUGCAUUCCAUUAAGAAGAGGCUGGCAUCUCUGAAUCAGCGACUGGACAUCAUGAGCAGGGCCCUUUUCCCCAUUCGAUACAAGGCCCUGAGGAGCCAGAGGCUUAGCAGCAUCCAGCUGAGGAGACUACCCCAGAUGAGAAGAAGGAUGUAUUUACAGAGACAAACUCAGAGGAAUUAGCUCCUUUCCGUUGUGAAGGAGAUUCUUCUGCUUCUCCUGAGAUCCUUACAACACAGCACAAUAUUAGACUGAACAAUCUGUACAAUAUUACUGGUC